ACGUGUAUUCCGGCACUAAUGCACCGGAUCACAUCAGAACUCCGCAGUUAAGCAUGCUUGGGCGAGAGUAGUACUAGGAUGGGUGACCCCCUGGGAAGUCCUCGUGUAUUCCACUUC
rnacentral:rRNA from 1 species